UGAUGGCGACCGGCGCACGGGUGAGUAACACGUAUCCAACCUGCCGAUAACUCGGGGAUAGCCUUUCGAAAGAAAGAUUAAUACCCGAURGUAUAGUAUUUCCGCAUGGYUUCACUAUUAAAGAAUUUCKGUUAUCGAUGGGGAUGCGUUCCAUUAKAUAGUUGGMGGGGUAACGGCCCACCAASUCAACGAUGGAKAGGGGUUCUGAKARGAAGGUCCCCCACAUUGKAACUGAKACACGGYCCAMACUCCUACKGSAGGMAGCAGUGAGGAAUAUUGKUCAAUGGACGAGAGUCUGAACCAGCCAAGUAGCGUGAAGGAUGACUGCCCUAUGGGUUGUARACUUCUUUUAUACKGGAAUAAAGUGGAGUAUGCAUACUCCUUUGUAUGUACCGUAUGAAUAAGGAUCGGCUAACUCCGUGCCAGCAGCCGCGGUAAUACGGAGGAUCCGAGCGUUAUCCGGAUUUAUUGGGUUUAAAGGGAGCGUAGGCGGGUGCUUAAGUCAGUUGUGAAAGUUUGCGGCUCAACCGUAAAAUUGCAGUUGAUACUGGGCGCCUUGAGUGCAGCAUAGGUAGGCGGAAUUCGUGGUGUAGCGGUGAAAUGCUUAGAUAUCACGAAGAACUCCGAUUGCGAAGGCAGCUUACUGGACUGUAACUGACGCUGAUGCUCGAAAGUGUGGGUAUCAAACAGGAUUAGAUACCCUGGUAGUCCACACAGUAAACGAUGAAUACUCGCUGUUGGCGAUACACAGUCAGCGSCCAAGCGAAAGCAUUAAGUAUUCCACCUGGGGAGUACGCCGGCAACGGUGAAACUCAAAGGAAUUGACGGGGGCCCGCACAAGCGGAGGAACAUGUGGUUUAAUUCGAUGAUACGCGAGGAACCUUACCCGGGCUUAAAUYGCAGCGGAAUGUAGUGGAAACAUUACAGCCYUCGGGCCGCUGUGAAGGUGCUGCAUGGUUGUCGUCAGCUCGUGCCGUGAGGUGUCGGCUUAAGUGCCAUAACGAGCGCAACCCUUAUCUAYAGUUACUAUCAGGUCAUGCUGAGGACUCUAUSGAGACUGCCGUCGUAAGAUGUGAGGAAGGUGG
rnacentral:rRNA from 1 species